GUUGACAAACUCAUGAUGUGUACUGUCAUGAGUUUGAUGGGGGGUGUUGGAAAAUAGUUAUUUAUUUAGUGCUUGGAUUUGGGCUUAGCCUAUUUGAAUUAGGUUUUCGUUUCCUUGCUUAUUAGGGACUAUGGUUAGUUUAUUAUAAAUAGAGAGCUUUGUUAUUCAGAGAGAUUAAGUCAUUCACAAUGUAGCCUCUUGGAGUUUUGUAGCCGUUUCGGCAUUCUCGUUUAUUUAAUAAUAUUCUUAUUUUGUUAGUUUUGUUAAUCGCACACUCUAAUAAUCAACUGGGAACUUGUUAUGUCGACUGUUCAUCAUUGAAGUUUGAUGAACAUUGUAUCCUUGAUUUAAAAAAAAAAUCCACGAUACGAAUAGUUUUCCUUCUUUAAUUUUGUUUAGAAGUGCCACCAACACUACAUUUUAGUGGUAUUUCUCUUUUGUUUAUAAAGUGAGAGAUCUCAAGUUCGUCUUGGAGGAUGAAUUUGGUACUAAUUAUUAUGGUUGACUCAUCUCAAAUUGUUUUUCACAAGGUAUAUUGGGCAACUGGGAGUAGUGUUGAUGGGUCACUUGUCAUAAACAAGGGUGACCAUGUUUGGUUCGGUGUGGUUUUAGGUAAAAUUGGAACUUGAUUUUUUUGUUGUUUGGCUCGAUGUGAUUUCGAAGCUUGAACCUAAAUGUAACCAAAUCAUUUAGGUGUGAUUUGAUUCAGUUUCAAACGGU
rnacentral:lncRNA from 1 species